rnacentral:lncRNA from 1 species
GCAGUCGUCAGAUGUCUUUAUCUUUUUCACGAGUUAUUUAGAAACUCUCUUGUAGUAGCUUGGAAAUUUCACAUCCAACACAACAGGCCUUUCGUUCAACUUGGAAUUCCUGGUUUAAAUAUCUGCCACAGUAAGUACUAAUUAUAGUAUCCAGUAAGCAUAAAGUUGGCAUAGAUAGACUGCAUAUUUAUCGAUUAAAUGCGACACUAAUCAUUGCUCAGCGCAUUUCUGCACUAUAGUAUAGCGAAACAAAAGGCAUUAGUGGCCUUCUUAUUUAAAACUCGAAACAUAGUCACCAGAUACGACACUCCGUUCAUCCCCAGAGCACAAAUUGAAGGUUCCUUUGGACGAUGGAAUAUUUCAAGCUUGUUGUGUCAAUACUCAAGGCGUAUACAGCAACUUCCAGAGGACAUUAAAUCGUGUGAUAAUAAAUUUAGAUUCAUAAGAUUAGUUAAGGCUCAUUUUAGCAACGGAGCGGCAGAAAGACUCUCUGCCAGAUGUUCAUACUUUAUCGUAUCGUGUGUUUACACAGUUAUAUUUCCUUAGGCUUAGUGUUUUUAUCUAUUUCUAUACUUGCGUAAGAAGAACCACCUAUGUGGAUUAUCACUCCGACAAUUGCAUUGGUGACGCUUGGUUGCUUGGAAAUCCAUGAGAUUUAUAUGUCUAGGUCUAGCACAGCAAGUGAAUCGCUAAGUAUAAAAGUUAGUAUAUUCAUGACUGACUACUCAACAGUAAAAAAACUGUUAGUUUAUUGCUGCUUAAAAAUAAAGGCCAGCGCUUCUCUAUACUGUACAGUAGUGUACUGUACUGUGGCUGUGGUAGGUUAGGAAUUUUACACGGCCUGCAAGACCGAAGAAUUUGGUUGCCCACGCUUCUGGUUUAUAUAUCAAGCACAAAUUCUGCAGUACGUAUUUACCGAGCGUAGGCGAACUAAAGAUAAGUUAGAUAACUCAAACGUCUCAGGGACUUGUGCGAAGGACCUUGUCGAUAAAACUGUCGAUAUUUUCUUCAUCAUUUUCCUGUUGUUCAGACACAUUAUUGUACAACAUUAUACCAACACUGCACCCGUGUUUGAAAUAUCUAACUAAAACAUUCUACUUUCUUUUGGGGUUUUUUAUAGAAAUUCUGGAACUCUCGAGUCCCCUGAGCUUCUAUAAGAAAGGAAUUACUCUAUUGUGUGCGUGGAAAGUGACAUUUUCAGUUUGACUGUUUGGAAGAGAAACAGAUUGGAUUGACAUCCAUACGGUAAGAACUGUAACAACAAUUCUAAUGUAUGGUUUACACUGUCAAAAUUUUCUCCGAUCACAGUUAAAAUUUUGCGCGCGUAGGUAAAUUCUAAGUUUUGAAGGAUUUGUUGUAAGAAAUCUUUGAGGAAACUGACUCAGUGUUAAACAGGGAGUUGGUUCCCUCAAACAUUUCUUACAAAUCCUUCAAACGUAGAAUUUACCUAUGAAAAAAUUCCUACUGUGCUCAGAAAAACACGUCCUUAUCGCGACAUUCCAAGUGCAAUAUUUGACUAUUUUUUCAGCAUCGCCAUUAGAAGUGGAAACGCUGAGGAAUUCCAUUCUACAGAAUUCGCUUACAAAGACAGUUGCAAUCUCUUUAUCUUUUCCCACCGCCCACCUGACGAUUACCCAGGAACAAUAUCAUUCACUAAAGACAUUCAUUUUGUUGUUAAGAAUUCCAAAGAGCAAGAUUCACAACAGAUAAACAGAAAAUUAUCCAGAGAAACUAUUCUAAUCCGUUUUUGUCAGAAGUCGAAAAUCUCCCAAAGACGACAGGACAGAACUGAAAUAUCCGACCAGAGAGCAGAUUUAAGUACAGCCAGUUUCAUACCCUGGGACCA